rnacentral:rRNA from 1 species
AUUGAACGCUGGCGGCAGGCCUAACACAUGCAAGUCGAGCGGAUGAAGGGAGCUUGCUCCUGGAUUCAGCGGCGGACGGGUGAGUAAUGCCUAGGAAUCUGCCUGGUAGUGGGGGAUAACGUCCGGAAACGGGCGCUAAUACCGCAUACGUCCUGAGGGAGAAAGUGGGGGAUCUUCGGACCUCACGCCACCAGAUGAGCCUAGGUCGGAUUAGCUAGUUGGUGGGGUAAAGGCCUACCAAGGCGACGAUCCGUAACUGGUCUGAGAGGAUGAUCAGUCACACUGGAACUGAGACACGGACCAGACUCCUACGGGAGGCAACAGAGGAGAAUAUUAGACAAGGGGCGAAAGCCUGAUCCAGCCAUGCCGCGUGUGUGAAGAAGGUCUUCGGAUUGGUAAGCACUUUAAGUUGGAGGGAAGGACAGUAAGUUAAUACCUUGCUGUUUUGACGUUACCAGCAGAAUAAGCACCGGCUAACUUCGUG